GUGCUCACUUCAGCAGCAUGUAUACUAAAACUGGAAUGAUACAGAGAAGAUUUGCAUGGCCCCUGAGCAAGGAUGACAGGCCAAUCAUUGAAGCGUUCCAUAUAAAG